CUGGUGUAGUGCAGGUUGAGAAGAGGUAACAGUCACAAGCAGACGUCAUAAACAUUUCAUCCAGGUUGCACAAGCCACUGUCCCUCUCCUGGGACCAUGGGGAAGUCCAGACACUCACAGUCCAUCCACUGUCUCCCUCCACAGAAAUCGGAGAGGCACGGAAAUGUCUUCAGCAGGAGCCCGUGUAUUUCAGGAAUACUUUUAAGCUAAGAACAAAAAAAUAGCCCAACCCUUGAAGUUCCCCCUAAACCAGAGGCUGGCUGCCUGUGCCCUGUCCUGGCGCUGCUCUGCCCUGGAAACACUGGGAACGGUGGAGCUCUGUCUCUCUGUCUGGCCCCUACCGCCCUCACUCCCCCAGGUGUGCGAGGCUCCGACAGACGCGAGAGGCUGGAAAAGGAAAGUGCCAAAGGGAGGUUAUGAAUAUGUCCAGAGAGAACCUGGGCCACCUUACCGACCAUGCAGAGGAGGCCAUGGAGCUCAGGGUAGGAGAGUCCAGAAUGUGUCCCCAGUGCUGGGCCUCCGGCAUACUCAUCACCGCCACCAUCCUCGCUGCCACCAGGGGGCAGUGUGGCCCCAGCGCAAGGGCAUCAGCUUUGGGGGCCAAACGCACCUGGUCUCAAAUCUCAGUUCCACGUACCACCUGUGUGUCCUUGGGCGCGCAUGACUUCACUUCUCUCUGCCUCUGUUUCCUCUUUGGGAAUGGGGGUAAUAAUAAUGGCAACAUUGGCUCGAGUGAGGUUUAGUGAGCUACUCUAUGUGAGAGCUCUUUGCAAAUCAUCAGGUGCCUCAGUGCAAUCGCCACCACAGCCACAGAGAUUCCACCCGCUGGAUGCCUUCCCCUCUGAGGUUUCUCACCCUGCAAAGCCUGAGACUCUUGCACUCAGUUUCUCUUUUGGAUUAUGCCAGUCCUGUGACAGGUGACCCUGGGUUGCCCCCAUUCUUAGUCCAGUGUCUGAGAAGGGGAAGAAAAACUCCAUUUGCAUUGGAGCAUUGGAGCAGCUCAGAUGAGUGAACAGGAGGAAGGCUGCAGGCAGAGGAACUGGCUGAUGGGAAGCUCCUCGAGUGAAUGGCCAGCCUGCUCGAUGCUGGUCAGCCAAGGACACGUGGAGAACUAGGGUAUGACUGUGAGCACGUGUGUAUUCUUUCAGGAGGAAGCAGGGAACACUUGGGUGGUGCUGGGAGGGAUUGGAGGUCGUCCUUAUCAGGUGAAGGAUGGAUCUGUGCUUAUCCAGUGGUAAAAGGCAGGAAGGGCAUUUGAGCUGAGGGAACUGUGCAUAUGCAGGCGCCAGGGAUGAAAGUGCAAAAGGUAGGUUAUAGGUGUGUGGUGAUGAGCAGCAAAUGUUAGGCUAAGAAAUAGGCUUUGCUCUGAGGAGAAUGGCUGGGCACAAUAAGAUUAGGGUUGGGAGCUGGGCAAGGUGUCUCACACCUGUAAUCCCAGCACUUUGGGAGGCCAUGGUGGGAGGAUCACUUUAGCCCAGGAGUCUGAGACCAGCCUGGGCAACAUAGCAAGACUCUGUCUCUACAAAAAUAAAAAUAAAAAAAAUUAGCUGUGCAUGGUGGUGCAUGCCUGUGGUCCCGGCUACUUGGAAAGCUUGAGGUGGGAGGAUUGCUUGUUUGAGGCUACAGUGAGCUAGGAUGGCACCACUGCACUCCAGCCUGAAUGACAGAGUAAGAUCCUGUCUAAAAAAAAGAUUAGUGUUUGGAAAGAUGGCUCCAGUAGAAUGUGGAGGAUGGAUUAGAACUAGGGAGACGGGAGUCACAGAUGAUUAAGGAGGCUGUGCAAGGGUUCUACAGGAACAAGGAGUGGUCUUUGAAUUUAGGGAGAAGAGGGAAUAAGACAGACAGAAAUAUGAAGGCAGAGUUGCCACACAGGCUGCAGGGAUGGGGGCUGACUCUGAGGAGAUGGGAGGGGCUCAGAACAGGGACCAGGGAGGGGCAGGUUUCCAGGCAAAUGGUGAGCUCUCUGCUGAGCCGGAGCUGGGGUUCAAGCCCCUCCUGUUGUAGGAGGGAAACCUGAGAUUUGACAAGGAAAGUAAAAUGCCCAGGGUCAGUCAAAGGCAGCAGCUUAGUACUUGGAUCAUUCUGUAUUCAACCUCAUGGCUUAGGGACCAGUGGAUAAUGACUGAGUCCUCAAAUUUGCCCUCUGAGACGGUUAAGUGCCAUGGUUAGGGGCUUGGACUCUGGGGCCAGAUUGUCUAGGUUAAGAUCCUGAUCUGCCUCUUACCAACUGUGUGACCUUGGCAGGUCUCUCUGUACCUCAGUUUCCUCAUCUGUAAAUUGGGGAUUAUAAUAGGUUGUUUGGAGCAUUAACUGAGCUGAUACAAGUGCUUAGAACAGUGCUUGGCAAAUAAUGAGUGUUAGUCAUGAUCAUUGCAUCCAUUUUGAAGAAGAAACUGAGGCUUAGAAAAAUGAAGUAUCUGCCCCAUGCCACACAACUAAUGUUGGCCGAGUUCCAGCCUAAGCUACUCCAAAGACUUGACUGGUUUGCUUAAGCUAACUGCUUGCCACCGCUGGCUCUUUCUGGAGGAUGGUUGAUGUCUUUAACUGAAAAGACUAGAGUCCCCAGCUGAAGGACUCUUAGGAGGAGAUUCUGUGGCCCUCUAAGCGUCCUGUCUGGACCCAGCUCUGAUUCUGACACCACCAUUCAGCUUGUUUGCUGGAGAGAUCCACUUGCUCCCCUGGCCAGAGAGCAGGCCAGAAACCAGGAUCCAUCAGGGAGGCCUGAGGCCUGGUCUCUCCCCUAGUUCCACCUAGGGGACAAAAAAAAGACAUGCAUUUAAAUGAGGACAGUGCCACUUGGAAGAAUUAUAAGAGUCAUCACCAUCACCAUCACUGCUGUAUUAAUAAUGGCUCAUAUCUGCUCAGCUCUCAGAAUUUUGGAAGCACUAAUCUAUCCAUCAGCUCAUCCAAGCCAUAUGACAGCUCUGGGAAGGUGUUUUGCAGACAAUGGCACUAAGGAUCAGAGAGGGCAAGUGACCAGCCCCAGGUCACUGGGCGAGGCUGGGGGCGGUCUCCCAGGAGGAAGAAGCUGUACCACAUACUUAGGAGAAGAUCGGGCAAGAUAACAGGGUUUAGGACAGUCCUGCCAGGAGGCUUCUUGUGUCAACUAAAACUAAAAUCUAAGCCCCUCAAUUCACUGAAUGGACAACCCACCUCUUGGCCAAGGGGACCCCAGAGAAACCUUUAAAAACUGAGUUCUUGGCCAUGAAGGGACAAGAGACACACCUCGUUUAUCCUCCUCCCUUUUGUGGCUUAGACACUACACCUGAGCAGCAUUAAUGUUAAAACAGAGAUCAUAAGACUGACAGAAUGGACUCUUUGUGGCAAUAAGAUGCCAAACUAUAAACAUGACCUAGGGUCACGCCAGGCAAGGGUUAAGUCCCACACCCAUACACUAAAGAAUAAACUAUGUUCUCACUGCCACAACAUUUCUCUUUUUCUCUAGCAGCUAAAUAAGCCCUGGUCUUGAGAUAAGCAGUGGUAAAACAAUUUGCAGCUCCUCCACCGCCAGACACUAACUAACUGAUCCCCGUUCCACCAGCCAUAACUAUAGCUCUGAUUGGACUAGAGACUGUUUCAGGAAUUUUUUCUGAUAAGAGACCACCGACCAUGGAUGGGUUCUGGCCAGUUUAUAGACACCGCACUUGAGCCCUUCAUGUCCUUGCUUCACCUUUUGAUGUAUAUAUGCAUUUGAAUGUUAAGUCUCCAACCCAAGGUGAACAUGGGUCUUAUGAAACAUGCAUGUUUAUUCCAUAUGCAUACAUUAGGAUCACCUCAUGAAUAUUCAUAGCUCCUCCUAUAACCUGUUGAAUAUGUAUAUUUGGUCAAUGCGUUCAGCUUAAAUUUCUGUCCAACCCCUCCUCCCUUGAAGUGUCUGUCUCUGGACUCUGCCAAAGACUGAGCUCCCCAGCCCAUCAGAAUGGCCACCUUGUAGGCUGUAACUCUUCAUGAGAAAUAAAGUCUCAUACCUAUAAUCCCAGCACUUCAGGGGGCCAAGGUGGGAGGACUGCUUGAGACCAGCCUAGGCAACAUAGUGAGACGCUGUCUCUACAAAAACUUACAAAAUUAACCAGCCGGGGUGGCAUGCACGUGUAGUCCCAGCUACUGGGGUGCCUGAGGCAGGAGAAUCGCUGGAGCCCAGGUGAUGGAGACUGCAGUAAGCCAUGAUUGCAUCACUGCAC
rnacentral:lncRNA from 1 species